CAACUUUCAAUCUUCAUGUUUGAUCACUCCCACAUUUCACUGCAUGAGUGCGCGUGGCUUCCUCUCUUCUCUCCUCGAGAAAACAAGCAGCCUCUUUCACUGCUGGAGCAGCAGAACCUUUUAUCGUUUCGUCUUUCUUUCUUUCUCUGUUCUGGUAAAAUGGCAGGCUCCUCAUCAUCCUAUUCCUUUCCUCGAGCUACAUUUUCUAGGUCUUUGCACUAAUACCAUCCAAUCUUAUGAUUCUUUCCUUUCCCCUCCAUUAUUGCUUUUUUCACGCUCUUGAUUUGACCAUCAUCAUCUCAUCCUGUUGAACAGAGAAUCACUUGCUCUUUGCGUUAAGACAUGUGGUACCUACAAAGCUAAUAAAGCUCUGGCUACAUUUUCCUUCUUCCCAGUUCUUUCGCAUCAUUGGAUCGACGUUUGUUCCUCUGUGCCGUCCUUUUCCUUCCCAUUGUAUCAUUGUACGGCUCUUCUGUUUUCUGCCGUGGUUUCCUUUUUCUCUGCUCUGGUUUGGGAGUAAGCUCUACUACAUUGUGUUUUUCUUUGCGUGUUUUCGGCAACCUGGGAUUUUCUCCUGGAUUUUGUCGAGAUUUCUUGGCUUUUUCUGUAUGGAGUGGAUUUGGAACUUGAGAUUUGAGCGUAUUUGGUUUUUACAAAGUAAUUCCGAGUAUUUUUGCUGUGGGUUUUGGUGAUCUUAGUCA
rnacentral:misc_RNA from 1 species